rnacentral:rRNA from 1 species
UACGGAGGGGACUAGCGUUGUUCGGAAUUACUGGGCGUACAGCGCACGUAGGCGGAUUUGUAAGUCAGGGGUGAAAUCCCGGGGCUCAACCUCGGAACUGCCUUUGAUACUGCGAAUCUCGAGUCCGGAAGAGGUGAGUGGAAUUCCUAGUGUAGAGGUGAAAUUCGUAGAUAUUAGGAAGAACACCAGUGGCGAAGGCGGCUCACUGGUCCGGUACUGACGCUGAGGUGCGAAAGCAUGGGGAGCAAACAGG